rnacentral:lncRNA from 1 species
AUUGCUUCAAGCAAUGAGCCAGCUGCUGUUACUCAGUAACAGGUUUGGGGCAGUCAUAGCCGCUGUGUGUUUAGUGGUCAACAUAAACUCUUCAGCAAAGGUAAGCUGCCUAUGCAGACAUUUUGCGUGCAUAUUUUUUUUAAUGCUUAAAUUCUUGAAAAUGCAGACUUUGACAUAGAUUUUUUUUUCACACAGGUAUUUUCAAAGGAGGUGAUUUUGAGAAUGAUAGUUACUGUUGUCUGAGCCAAGAGCUGCUUCCAGAGGAGCACACUGAAACAUUGAAAGAGUGCCUCAUUGUCACCUGGGCAGUUGAAACUCUCAAGUAGCAUCUGCUGGGGAUUGCUGUGCUUAUUCUGCCUAUACUGCCUUGAUAAAAAUUAUGGCAGUGCUUUAUUUAUAACCUGUCUCUGCUUCUGGACUACCCAAGCAAUUGUUGCCUUUUCUCAGGAAAUCAUAAGACUUACAGCUGGUGAAGUGCCUUGUUUCUUGGAGAGGUGAAUAGUGAUGAAAAAGAUGGAGUUUUACAAUAGUACUUAAGCACCUACAAAAGCAGCUGCCUUAUCAUUGUUUCCUUAACAAUCAUUAAGGUACCAGGGAUCAACUAGAAUAAAUCCAAGCUGAAAGAUAUAAGUAGCCCCUUA